CAUAGCCACGGGAAUACGUAGGUGGCAAGCGUUGUCCGGAAUUAUUGGGCGUAAAGGGCUCGCAGGCGGUUUCUUAAGUCUGAUGUGAAAGCCCCCGGCUCAACCGGGAAGGGUCAUUGGAAACUGGGAAACUUGAGUGCAGAAGAGGAGAGUGGAAUUCCACGUGUAGCGGUGAAAUGCGUAGAGAUGUGGAGGAACACCAGUGGCGAAGGCGACUCUCUGGUCUGUAACUGACGCUGAGGAGCGAAAGCGUGGGGAGCGAACAGGAUUAGAGACCCCUGUAGUCCCUGUCUCUUAUACC
rnacentral:rRNA from 1 species